rnacentral:misc_RNA from 1 species
GCUGUUCACACCGAUCCUACCCAAUAUUUCAGGUUGAUUUACAAGAUUGAGUCGGGACAGUCUCCAUCGAUUGGUUUGAUGAGUAUCCAGAUAAAAUCUUCUUUCAACAAAUCUUCCCAGCGACAACUCAAACCCAGCUGAAGUUCGCCAUCUCAAGCCCUCACUUGUCGCCCUUCUUCCCUCUUCUCACUUGACCCAUUUUCACGGCACUCAUUUGCUCCCUUCCACACCAUACCUACACCACCCGUUCCUCUAUCGCUGCCGUUGACAGUUCACAAAUCCUCUGUUGCAUGUAAAUUUGCAUUGAAAUUUGGAGCUGUGGUAUGGUAACUCCCAAUUUUGGGUUAAAAUGCUUUAGAUCUCCGCAUUUUCUCUAUUUUUGCUCGAAAUGUCAUCUG